GCCCACUUUAACGAUGUAGUUAUCAUGCCCGACUAGUAUCCGGGAGACGCAGGUUCGAAUCCUGCUCGGGACU